CUAGAACCUGCUAGAACCCGUUGAGACAGUUAGGCUUGACUGGGACACCUGGAGCCAAUCAAGAACCAGCUGGAACUGGUUAAAAGCCUCUCCUUACUAAAGUUUAAUGGCAUUUUAAUGUGCCCUUUUGAUUCCAGAUGAUUUCAGGUGACACAAGGAAGGGAUACUGUUGAUUUCUGAAGGAUCCGGACGAUAGGAGAGAGCAAAGAGGAAGCACAGCUUCAGAGGAGGAAGCAGUAGACACUGCAGAAAUAAGGUCAUCAAGUUAGGAGGCAUAUCAAGAGGGCUUACAGGUGCUGGAGGUGGGCCAGAAGCCCCUGCCAACAUAAGACCAACUACCAUCUGUACAGGAUAUUUGCAAUAUAUCUAGAUAGCUUAUAUACUUCGUCUGCUGUUCUUGGACUCAAGGCCUGUGAAGACUUGUAUACAUGCCUAACUUUAUGCACUGUGAAUUGUCCCACUGAAAUCAGAGUUACAUACUAAAGAGUAGGCACAGAAAGGAAAUGAUUUUGUAUCAGGCCGAGAGUUCCUCAGCACAUUUGGGAAUCCUGACUGAAUAUCUAUGUAUUAGCAAAGAGUUAAUAAUUUAUCCUUUUGCAGUAAUGUCAAUCAUUCUAUGAUGCAUUAUCUAACACAAGAGAAAAAAAAGGUAUUUGGAGAUUUCCUUCAUUUUUUGUUGUCACAUUUCCAAGUUUUUAGCUAUGAGCAAGUACUAUACAAAAUUUACUGAAUUUAAAUUGCCCUCUCUGCACAUUAAACAAUGGCUUUCAUAUACAAAGUAUACUUUUAGCAAAGGAGAAUUGUAAAGGAUGCAUUAUAAUUUAACAUUGGAUGCAUGAAUGUAGCCUAUGUUUUUUAGAGAACAAAGACUGACUUUUUAUAGAUGUGUAUGUUUUAUUCAUCACUGAAUAACUGGGCUAUAAGUGUACAAUCUGUAACAUUAUUGAUUUGCAAUAUGUGCAACUGGUCACAUUCAGUUUGCUU